rnacentral:tRNA from 1 species
GGGAAGGUAGCUCAGUGGUAGAGUGCUUGCUUCAUAUGCAUGAGGACCUGGAUUCCAUUCCU